rnacentral:lncRNA from 1 species
CGGAGGAAGCGCAGCCCGCUGCCGUCGGCCCCGCGCUUCCCGGCUCGGUCGCCCGCCGCCGGGCACUGGUGAUCCCGGGGCAGGCGUCCAGGCCCGCGGCUUAACCCCUUAGGGCCCGCGACACAGCGCGGUUGGUGAGGGCGGCUCCUGGCACCUGCCAGCUAGGGGAGUGGGCGGCGACCCGGCUCUCGGGUGCCCGGUUGGCUCGGGGACGCUGGUGAAGUCACAAGCUGGACGGCCGAGGCGCCGCGCGCGGGCCGCGAAGACAGUCGGGCUCGCCCCUUGCAGGUCCGAAAAGUCUGCCCCGGGCCGGGAGCUAGGCGCGGCGGGUGAGGGGCGUGGCGGCCUCCAGCCCCGACCCUGCCAGCACCCUGCAGCGUGCAGACCCCCGCGCGCACGGUCUCACACGGUCACCAGACGGACCGUGUAAGCAGAUCUUUGAAUCUAAUUCCUGCAGCAGUUAGCUCGCUCCAAGGCAAUCGCGGUCAAUUUUACAAAGGACCAGAGUGGGAAGUGACACAUGACCGUGCCAGCCCAAGCCGACUCUCUUGGCGCCCUCUCUCAACUUCGUCGCAAGUUCCCUAAGGAACCCUGGUAAUAAAAGCUGAAUUUUAGGGACUGGACGGGCCCUGCCCAGGGGAGUCUGCAGUACUCUGGAGGGCCGCGCUGCUCGGGGCACCCACAGGUGAGUCUGUAGAGAGGGAAUCCUGACCCAGUCACCCGUACCCUGGAGCUGCUGCAGGGAUUUGAGGGGCAGUCACCAACCGGAGGGUGACCUCGCCAAGUCUUGAGGAAGAAAUCUCCCUCCUGAGUACCUGGGCAGAAUCGGUUUGGGCAGAUAGGGAGUCCGCUGGCAGUGAGGAGGGAAGGAGUGGGCAGCGUGAGGCAGGGGGCGUCCACCUCGCCUAUCUCCCCUCCCCCUGGCAAGCCAAAGCUCUGCCCCUCGCUAUUCUACCCAGCAGUUCACAGGGACCUCGAUGGCCACAUUAUGUGAGCACGUGCUGUGAGGAGGGUGCUGGGAAGGCGAGGAGAGCGGGGCCUGCCUUCCCUGAGACCAAGUCCAUACUAGAGCAACUGUAAUAGAAGAUAAUAGAGUGAUGUCAUCUGCAAAGAGCUUUGUAGAUCCGCUGAUUUCUUUUACGUUUGCUUGGGUAGCUCCAAAUGCAAUAAUGUGAGGAGAGAGUGGCCAUCCCCUCUUGGCUGACCAGUAAACAGAUUUGCAGAGGGGAGAGACUUGGUCACCCUCAUACAGAGACAGACCCAGGACUUGAACCAAACUCUUCCUAGAUCCAUCCUAGGGUUGUGCUUUGAGCCUCUGAAUGCCAGGGCCCUUGUACACCCACUGCUGUAUUUGAGCUUCCCAGGUGUCUGGGGAGGUAGGUGGGCAACUGCUAGUCCUCAGCUAAGUCUCAGGGACUUAUUAAAUCUCUGUAGCAGCUGUGGCCAUAGGCCUUAGUCAUCUCCUCUGGGCCAGACCCUUCCUGGGCUAUUUCCAUGUUGAAUCUCAUGCCUUUGACCACAGUUAGCCCCUGCCUGGAAUGCCCUCUUUAUUCUCUGCACCAACCAGAUGCCCUCACCUCGGAUAGCCCCACCUCCUUGCCACCUCACCUGACAACUCUAGCCCCCACACCUCUGUGCUGCUCCAUUUAGUUCUGAGGGUCUGGUCUAGUUUCCAGGAGCUUCCUGUCAGUAUCCAUAGUGAGCCCCUAGCCUCUGGACACAAGGGCCAGCCUUCUCUUACAGUGUACCCCUGGGCAUACAUUAAGUACUAAGCAAAUAUUUAAUGCCACCAAGAACAAAAUUAACCUUCAACCAGCAGAAGAAAUGUAAAUUAGGUCCACAAAAGCAUUUCCUAUCCGGCAGCUGUGCAGCAUUUGGAAGUGGUCAGUUUCCGUGUCUAGAUUGGGAUAAUCUUGGAUAGGUCGGCCUCAGGACAGGACACUUCAACCCCAGGACCCCAUUGGAAACCAUUAAAGGGCAACUCAAGAACACCAGUCACUCUGCACCCACGGCUGUGGCUUGUCCACUUUUAUCUCAUGGAUAUUUCAAAUUCCAGUUUGUCAUCCUUGGCUACCCAGCAUGCCUCUUGGCACCAUCCCCGCCAUCCGCUGUUGCUGUGGGCUCUGGGAAUGAGACAGAUACUUAAUAUCAGCUUGAGCCAAAUGUAAUUAGGAACAUCAAUCUGCUGCCCCCAGUCCACGUGACACGCUCCGAGACGAAAUGUUUCUUUAUCUCUUAUGUGCUGCCGGUUUGCCCCUUCUGUCACAUUUCCCCAGUGAGCAUGGAGGUCUGGAUGAGGAAGGGCCUUCCCAAAGAACUCUGGUCCCCUUGUGUCAGGUCAAGGGUUCAGCCCAAAGUGGAAACUCAAAUGUGUGCCAUUUCCAUGGUGCCUCCUUCCAUGGGCGUCCAGCAUACAGCCCAUCACAGCUGGGUCACCCAAAACAGAGUCUGAGAAAGGAGAUGGAUACAGGGGAUCUAACUGGAAGGUGAUCCCAGGAGUUGAAAAGGGGUGGGGUGGGGUGGGCGGUGAGAUUGGAAAAAAGCGAAAGCCAGCAUGAAGCUGUGUUCUCAAGGUCACUUGUGGGGGGGCCCCAGGGUAGAGGGCUCAGUUCCCCCGAGACCUCCAGGACAGGUGCAGAAUAGCCUGGCAGGCGUGGGUCAUGGAGAGCAGCGUGUUCCUCUGUGCUCCUCUCGCCCUUUGUUUGAGAGCUGUCCUUGAGAGCACUCCCUCAUACUGCAGGGCUGUGCUGUGAGGUGGGCAGUGCUGGCCCCUCAGCUUCAGAGACUGCCCUGGGGAAGGAAGGGAGGAGUUCCCAGCUCUUACUUGAGGUGGAUGCUGUCAGCUAUCAGCUCUCAGAUCAUCCACUGGGCUUCAGGAGGAAUCAGAAGUAGGCUACGCUGAGGGCAUUUGUUACAUAUUGUGGAGUAAAUAAGCCCCUGCAAUGCCAGCUUUGAUCUCUUCUAGAUGCUGUCAUGCCUCAAUGCUUUGCCAUGCUUUUUCUUCAGCCUCCAGUCCUUUACCCCUUGUUAGCUCUGCAAACUCCUUCUCAUCCUUCAAAGCCCAACACAAACGUUACCUUCUUUAUGUAGCUCUCCUGGUGCUACCUCCACAGAAGUCUGAUUGACACUAUAUUAUAUAUCCUGAUGAAACAUAUUUCUUCUUUUCUCUUUUUAUGGGCUGUGAUCAUAUGUGCCCCCCCUCCAGCUACUAGAUUGACACAGAGGAAAUGCUGGAUAACUGCCCAACAGAUCCAACAAGGCUGCCAUGAGCACCUUUAGUAUCUUCCUUUAUGAAUGACCCUCUGGUCCCAGCUCUGCACAGCCAGGCACCAGGGCCUCUCCACAAGAGCCUCUGCCCUGCCUUGUGUGUUCAUUUGCCCAGGCCUCCUACUAGGCGCCACUGUACAGAGUGAGGAGGGCUUGGUCUUUGUCUGCAAGAAGCUCACAAUCUCUUAGGAAAGACCCACAGAUGUGGGCACCCAUCCCAUAUUAUGGGUAGGCACUGCUUUGCUGCAGGGACUGAGGGAGAUUCCAAAAGCCAUGGAACCAUAGGGGGAGGUGCUUCUCUAGCCCUGGCUGGCUGCCUGGUGCAUGCCACUCAUGACGCAGGUGCACAUGCUGGCCACCCUCAGUUACAGGGUCUUCCAAGCCCCACAGGCCUCAGUCCCUGGAGUCCUCGAAUCCUUCCCCUCCUGUCCAUCUCCACUGUUACCACGCAGGCUUUUCUCUUGCUUGGGCCGCUGGAUCAACCCUCCUGCCUCCUACCUUUUUUUUUUUUUUAAAGAGAGAGGUGAGAAAGAGAGAGAGACAGAGAGAGAAUUUUUACUAUUUAUUUUUUUAGUUUUCGGUGGACACAACAUCUUUGUUUGUAUGUGGUGCUGAGGAUCGAACUCGGGCUGCACGCAAGCCAGGCGAGCGCGCUACCGCUUGAGCCACACCCCUGCCCCUGCCUCCUACCUUGUGCUGACCUCUCACUCCCCCCCAGCCACUCCUGAGCUCCUGCUCAGAACACACAGAUCUGCCCACAGGAAACCGGCCUAGGGCUCUCCACUGUCCUCACAAAGAGGUGCCACCCCUUGUGUCUAUGUUCCCCAUCUCCCCUUGCCCUUCUCCCCCACGCCUCGCCGGCCCUUCAUUCUUCCCUCCACAUCAUCUCCUCAGCCGCCUUCCUGGACAGGGCCAGGGGUUUGGUUGCCUGGCCUCUGAGCUCCUCUCCGCAGCUCCCUGGGCCUCCAUCCCUCUGCGCCUGUGCAGGGCUGUAACAUUUCCUGUUGUGUGCUUGACAUGCUCCUGGGGAAUGUGCUGCUUGAGGGUGACUGGCUCUUCCUCUUGGGAAUGAGGCACACGCGGGUGCCUGCUCUGUCAGCUCUGGUCCCUGUCCUUCCCUGUCUUCCAGCCUCUCUCCCCCAGCACACGUCUCUGCUCCCACCCACCCCUGUUUCUCUGGGGCUGUCGCCUUUCUGACUUCAGAUCUCCAUGUCUGUGUCUUCCUCACUGUGGCUCACUGACCCCCCCCAACCCCACCCGCUGUGCUUUCCUGUUGUACCCUUCCCACUCACAGCCACUGCUGUCAGGCUGGGUACCGGGCUGUCCUCUCUCCACCUUCACAUCAGGGUGUCAGGGUUCCUCUCUUCCUCCUGGCUCCCCUCUGGCUCUGUCCCCUCCACCAUACCAGCUUAUUUGCACUCCUACUCUCUCCGUGUGUUUCUGUCUCCAUCUCCCUGUCUCUGUGGCUGUGUCUGUCUCUCUUCUUUGUCUUGUCUGUGGUCUGUCUUUGUCUUUCUCCACUGUCUCUAUACCACAUGCACAAUGCUGACUUUGGCAUGGGGAGCACUGAGACAGGUGGGGACCCUCCCUGGGGUGUCAUCUUUUCUUCACCCCAUAUCUGAGGGAUGAUGAGUGAUGGGCCCCUGGCAGAGGCACAUGUGGGGCCUCUGGGGCUGCAUCGUUGACUGUGGGACACCCUCACCUGAGCAGAAAGGUCUUCUCCUUGACCCAUUCUGUGAGCUUGUUGAACAGUGUGAGUACGUGUGUGUGCAUGUGUGUGUGUGCAUGUGCGUAUGUGUGCUCGUGUGUGUGUGUGUGCAUGUACAUGUGUGUGCGCAUGUGUGCACAGAUGUAUAUGCACCCACAAUGUUGAAAAUGGACUAGGGAGGGAGGAAUCACAGAAUUGGGCUCAUGGAGGGAAGCUCUGAGCUAGUUCCUCCCAGAGGUCUGCUCUCCCAAGCUGUCCCUGGGUCCUGAUGGCAAAUAGGCACAUGGAGCUAUAGGGAGCAGAAGGGGACCCUGGAGGGCUCCUCUCAGCCAUCACUCAUGCAGCCCAGGGGCUGGCUGCUCCCAGAGCCUCCUCCACUCUUACAUGAUUAGCAGCGUGCUCUGGAGCCAUGCACCUGGGCUCAGUCAUUCCUCUCCACUGUCACAUGGGUGAUGGGGCAGUCAUUGAGCCUCCUUGUGCCUGAACUUCCUGAGGCUUCACUCUUUUCUGCACAGUGAAGCUGGCAGCUGCAUUGGCCCCAGAGAGUUGUCACUAGAUCCAGCAGAGAGAAAGCAGCGUAUCCAGUCCUUCCACGCUGCUAGGACCACACUCUCCAGCCAUGUGCCCCCAUCAUUCAACCUUCUGUUCUCUGUUCAGACUCAUAAUCUUCUAACCAGAGCUGAAUGAGCAACUGUUAUCACCUGGUUUCUCAGAGGAGGAAACAAAGGCUCAGAGAGAACACUGCCCCCAGCUACAUGUGCCAAAGUGGGACAGGGCCCAGGUCUUACUGCACCUUCCCUGCGUGGCUACCACCCAGUCACCUUCUCGAGUCUCUGACUCUGAAAGCAACCCACCUGUCUGGGUCCAGGAUUCCGUUUCCAUCACACCUUAUGUCCCUUGUGCUCCACUACCUGCAAACCCCAAACUUCCCUAUGCUGUGGAUUAGGGCUCUUCAAGAGCAAGGGGAGGGAAUUGGGAGAACUGAGUUCUAGCACCUAUGAGCCUGGGACUCGAAAUCCCUGUAGCCUAGAAAUCCCUGUCACUGCAUGUAGAGUCACAGAAGCCAUCAGCUUAGAACUGAGGGAACAGGGAGCUUCCCCUUCCCUUCCACAGGUUCAACAAUUGAGCCUUUGAAAUACACAGGCAACAGACAAAUCAACAGUGAUGACAGUGAUGUAAAAACUGACUAUCUUGAAUGACAGUGAUGUAAAAACUGACUAUCUUGAAUGGGGGCAUCACAUGAAGGAAAGUAAACACUCAACACCUCAUGCAGCCUAAAGGCUUAACUCUCCUCUGCAGCAGGGAGAGAAGGUGCCCAGCAAAGGCUGCCUGAAGAUGCAGACCUAGUCUCCCAGGCACAGCACGUAUGCAUCUCUGUCUGGUGUGGGUGUCAGAGCCCCAAUCCCUCCUUCUUAUGAGAAAUCUCUCUGCUGGGCAGAAAGGGGGUGUCAUAGAGAAGCCCUGGCCUGCAUUGUUGUCUACUACUGUAAAGAGAUGUCAUUUUCUUUUUAUAGAGGGACAGCUUUUUACAGCCGUCCCAGUGUCUGAAGAGGUGUGCCGCACCUCUCAAUAACCAACUUGCUAAGGAAAUAGAUUUGGGGUCUCCCACCCAGCAGCUGGGGUCAUUCCGUGUAACAUUGCCUCCACCUGCAGAGAAAAGCCUGCCACGCCACCAACUACCAGCAGAGGGCCAGAGCAGCACUGUCCACUAGUCCAUUGGUUAGAUUUCCAGCCUUGAGGUCCUUUGGGCAACAUUGAGACAGUUCUCCAAGCCAGCGUCACCUUCAACCAGAAGCUUAUUAAAAAUGCAAAUUCCCACCAGGUGUGAUGGUACACACCAGUGAUCCCAGUGGCUCAGGAGGCUGAGGCAGAAGGAUCUCAAGUUCAAAGGCAGCCUUAGUAGCAAGGCCCUAAGCAACUCAGAUAGAUGCUGUCUCUCAAUAAAAUAUAAAAAAAUGGCUGGGGUUGUGGCUCCGUGGUUAAGUAACCCUGGGUUCAAUCCCCAGUACAAAAAUGAAAAACAAAAACAAACAAACAUACAACAACAACAAAAACCAGAAAUGCAAAUUCCCGGGCUCCACACCAGGUCUAUUGAAGCAGGAACUCCGCGCCCCCCAGGUGGGGCCCUCCAGAGGAUCCUGACAUCUGUUCAGUCUGAAAACCAUGAAUUUGCAUCAUUCGGUAUGGUGAGCACCCUGGGAGCUAAACAUGCAAAACAGAUGGGAAGCAGUUGUUCUCACCAUCCAUCUCCCAGGUAGCAGAGUUGAAUUUUAACCUGGACUUCAACAUCUGAACCGGAGGUUUGUCAGAUUUUCCAUUAAAGAUAAGGGGGUCACAAGCACAUUUGGGCACAGAGGCAAGGUGAGGGAUGGGAGCUUUGAUGGUUCAGGCAUGCAGAUUUUGUGGCUUCAGGUACCUCACUUGUCCCUCUGAGGCUGGACCUGAAGAUGCCCCCAGUGAUGGGAAUGGCAAGGGUCCUGAUGGCCUCAUAGGAGAGAUGCCUCUCCAUUUGGAGAGGCUGGGAGGGAGAGCUUGGAGACCCACUUACAGCCCAGCAGCCCCUUCCCAGGCACCUGCUCCACCAGAUCAGUCUCCAGCAAUGGCCCCCAGAUUCUGCUCACUUCUGUGCCUCUGUGCCAGUUCCCUCAGGUUUGCUAUCUCCCAGAGUUCAGCAAGAGCAGUUUUAUUAGGUAGGACCCCCUUCUACCACCCCAGCCACACUGUCUCUCCCUCCACUGAGCUCCCAGCCCUCCCCACCGUCUCAGCACUGAAGACCUCAAGGCAUUCUCAUUGCUAAAUUUCCAUCCUCAUUUGCCAAGGGCAGGCUUUGGAUCAGUCAGUUGCCAAGGUCUCUUCCUGCUCCAGGAGAUUCCAUACUCUGGCUCACAAGGACAAAGCUUAUAAGACUAUACUUUCAGGGAUCAUUUCUAUAGUAUGUUACAAGGACAAAGCUUACCUCCCCUGUUACGACUCCUACCCUUAGCUAAGUGUGUAGGGCCUUUAGUAUGGGACCCACUUUUAUAUGAACAAUUGGAUUCUAGAACGUAAUGUAAAAUCCUUGGUCCAUAAUAAAGUAUGGUGAUUUAUAGAUGAAAGUGUAUAAUAAGGGGAGAGAAGAGGUACUAGCAUUUUUGUUUAUUGGGUAGUCUGUGCACGUGAAGAUUCUUUGCAGGAUUCAAGAGCCAUCUUUUCCUGUUCAAUUCAAGAAACUAUAUCUUGGUGUUCUUCAUUGUCAAAUAUGCCAUCCCAGGUUAAUUUCUUAUCUCCCACUAUGAGAAAAAGGUAAUGAGACUAUUAUUAUUAUUAUUAUUAGUUUUUGCAGUACUGGGGAUUGAACACAGGGAUGCUUUACCACUGAGCUGUAUUUCUUCCCUUUUUUAUUUUGAGACAGGGUUUCAACAACUGCUGAGGCUGACCUUGAACUUCCAAUCCUCCUGCCUCAGCCUCCCAAAUUGCUGAGCUCACAGCUAUGCACCACCAAGCCUAGCAAUGCUGUUAUUCAUGUGCCAUGGGUCUCAGGAACCUAUUUUUAAUGAAACAAUAUGAAUCUUCUUAUCUCUGCAGUUCCCUUGUUGGGGCUCAGGAUACUCUGCCCCAAAAUAUGACUGUAGGAGACCAGAAUAUGCCACCCCAAAAUAUACUUCCUUGGCGUAUUUUGAGCUGGCUAUUCUGAGAAACUGCAGACACAGGAGCAGCUCUGAAAAACUGUCAUUUUGUAAAAGAAAUUUACAUCCAAGAAGGAAGUCUACAUUAGUAAAGUAUAUGAGGAAGAGGAAACUGCUCCAAACAGCUUUCAUCACCUGAAAGAAUAUCUGCACAACAAGACAAUCUAUGUCCACCAAGCAUUUCCUGCCUCUCCCUGUAUCACCCGUCUCUUUCUCCAACAUCCCCAGAAGCCCCAAGCCCCUAUUCCCUUCUGUAGCCCAGGAAGCUAUGUAAGUGCCAAUUAUCCAAUCCAUCUUUGGGUCUUGUGUGGGAUUCCCCUGCCUACAAACAUAAUUACAUAUGGUUUUG